rnacentral:lncRNA from 1 species
GGAUUACAGGCACACACAACCACACCCAGCUAAUUUUUUGUAUUUUUAGUAGAGACAGGGUUUCACCAUGUUGGUCAGGCUGGUCUCAAAUUCCUGACCUCAGGUGAUCUAUCCUCUGCGGCCUCCCAAAAUGCUGGUAUUACAGGCAUGAGCCACUGCACCUGGCCUCAAUUUUUCUGUAAAUAUGAAACUAUUCUAAAAAAAUUAAGUCUAUUAACUUCAGAAAAUAAAGAAAUACUAUAACAGGGCUAGUUUUAAAUGUGAUACAUUUUAAAUGUCUCUAAAACCUUGGGGCUUUUAAAUCAAAGAAAAAUAUGCAAUGUAAUUGUGCUGCUCAUAAAAUAAUUGUGGGAUUAUAAAUACCUUAAUUUAUAAUGCAGGACAGAUGAAUGUGGAAACAAACAAACAAAAAGAAUACAAAUUAUCAAAUCUAAAGUAGGUACAAAACCAAAUAACUAAUGUAAACAAUAAAAUGAAAUCACAAUAAAUUACUAAUUUUAAAAAGCUAACAAAUACCAUAACUAUCACAGAACCUUGAAAAAUAACAUAAUAUUUUUACUAAUUAACUCUGACACACAUUUAUAAAGCUUUUUUCUCUAUCUUUUUUUGCUGUACAGACUUGGAUUACGUCCUUAUGUGACCACAGUUUUGUAACAUCAUUUUAAAGACAGAAAGCAGAAAGUGAAUUCAGUCUUCUCUUUAGCAUGGUUGAUUGAAAUUCUUUUUUUUUAUUAUUGACAGCUGUGAUGCAUUAAGCAUUCAGUUUCACACAGACAUGCUUGCUAUGUCUAGUGCUGCUAUAGGUUUGUAUCCUACAACCCGG